GACAGUGAGGCGCGAGCGUUGUCCGGAUUUAUUGGGCGUAAAGAGCUCGUAGGCGGCUUGUCGCGUCGUCCGUGAAAACCUGCAGCUCAACUGCAGGCUUGCGGUCGAUACGGGCAGGCUGGAGUUCGGUAGGGGAGACUGGAAUUCCUGGUGUAGCGGUGAAAUGCGCAGAUAUCAGGAGGAACACCGAUGGCGAAGGCAGCUCGCUGGGACGGUACUGACGCUGAGGCGCGAAAGCGUGGGGAGCGAACAGG
rnacentral:rRNA from 1 species